CCUACGGGAGGCAGCAGUGAGGAAUAUUGGUCAAUGGACGAGAGUCUGAACCAGCCAAGUAGCGUGAAGGAUGACUGCCCUAUGGGUUGUAAACUUCUUUUAUAUGGGAAUAAAAUGCUCUACGUGUGGGAUUUUGUAUGUACCAUAUGAAUAAGGAUCGGCUAACUCCGUGCCAGCAGCCGCGGUAAUACGGAGGAUCCGAGCGUUAUCCGGAUUUAUUGGGUUUAAAGGGAGCGUAGGUGGAUUGUUAAGUCAGUUGUGAAAGUUUGCGGCUCAACCGUAAAAUUGCAGUUGAAACUGGCAGUCUUGAGUACAGUAGAGGUAGGCGGAAUUCGUGGUGUAGCGGUGAAAUGCUUAGAUAUCACGAAGAACUCCGAUUGCGAAGGCAGCUCGCUGGACUGCAACUGACACUGAGGCUCGAAAGUGUGGGUAUCAAACAGGAUUAGAUACCCCGGUAGUC
rnacentral:rRNA from 1 species